UGGGGAAUUUUGGACAAUGGGGGGAACCCUGAUCCAGCCAUGCCGCGUGUGUGAAGAAGGCCUUCGGGUUGUAAAGCACUUUUGUCCGGGAAGAAAAGGCGAGGGUGAAUAAUCUUCGUUGCUGACGGUACCGGAAGAAAAAGCACCGGCUAACUACGUGCCAGCAGCCGCGGUAAUACGUAGGGUGCAAGCGUUAAUCGGAAUGACUGGGCGUAAAGGGUGCGUAGGCGGUUUGUCAAGACGGAUGUGAAAUCCCCGGGCUUAACCUGGGCAUGGCAUACGUGACUGGCAGACUCGAGUAGGGCAGAGGGAGGCGGAAUUCCACGUGUAGCAGUGAAAUGCGUAGAGAUGUGGAGGAACACCGAUGGCGAAGGCAGCCUCCUGGGCUCAUACUGACGCUCAGGCACGAAAGCGUGGGGAGCAAACAGG
rnacentral:rRNA from 1 species